CGCGCCGCGAGUGUUUCAGCCCGGCUCCCGGCUCGUUGUGCUUGCCUCACGCCGGCCCGAGUUGGCGGCAGCACUGGAGGCCCCGGGCCUCUGAGCACAAAGAGGGAGCCGGGGGCCAGACGGGAGCGCGGCGGCGGCAGCUGAGGCCCAGGCCAGGCCCCCUCCCCUCAGCCUCCCGCCUGCCCGUCUGCCCCGACCCCGCAGGCGGCGCCGCGCCCCUCCCCCAACCGCCAGACUAGCGCGGUGCGGGGACCGCGCGCGAAGACAUGGGGGAGAAGCUGGAGCUGAGGCUGGAGUCGCUCUUGGGGACCGAGCCCGCCGUCUACCCGUGGCCGCUGCCGGUCUACUUUUCUGAGUUUCUGGGAAGGCCUGGUUUCCCCAAAGGAACGAUUUCUGGUAGAAGUCUGAAGGUCUGACCCAAGAAAAACAAAUCCAGUACAGCCAAUGAAUUGAGGACAAGAAGGUUUCCAAUCAGUUGCUAUAUGGGCCGCGCGCGAAGACAUGGGGGAGAAGCUGGAGCUGAGGCUGGAGUCGCUCUUGGGGACCGAGCCCGCCGUCUGCCCGUGGCCGCUGCCGGUCUACGUGGAAAGACUAUCUCCCAGUUGAACAGCGGAUGCCUGGGACUCGUUUCACUGCUUUCAAAGUUCCUUUAAAAAAGAGUUUUGAAAAGAAUCUUGCUCCAGAAGAACGUUUCUCCCCCUUGGAUCUCUUAACAAAAUCCAAGGACAGAAUGAAGAACUUGGGCUGAUUAUUGACUUAACAAAUACUCGCCGCUAUUACAAGCCAGAGGACUUACCAGAAACUAUUCCUUAUUUAAAAAGUUGUACAAUUGGGCAUCAGGUGUCAGAUGACGACGCUAGUUUUAAAUUCCAGUGUGCUGUUAAUGGGUUUCUGAAAGAACAUAAAGAUAACGAGCUCACCCUGCCUGGGCACCGGCUCUGCAGACCCCUCAGCCCUGGCUAUGUAUCGGCCAGCCCUUCCCCGCAACGGGGCCCAGAGGCCAGAGCCUGCCCAGAGCUGAGUGGAGGAGGCACCCAGAGUUUGCCAGGCUGUGGCCCGCCACCUCCGUGGACCUCCCCAGCUUGUCCGCGAGCCCUGGAGACAGGAGCGCCUUCUCCAGGGCUGCUGAGCUGCCAGCAUCACCAUGAGCCAGGCGGUGAAGGUUUCUGAGCAGGGGAUGCAGAGCCCUGACGCGACUGGAUGCUGCACCCCACGAUGUCCCUUCCUGGCAGGUAGGUUCUUUCUUCACUUGUUUUUCGAAAUUUGGUAAAAGAACAUUUAAACCUUCGACUGUUCUUCAGGGUAUACAGAUGGUAGUGGCUUAGCCGGGAUUCGAAGCAAGCCUGUGUGAUUCCAGAGCUCGUGCUCUGGACUCUGGUGCCUCCUUAUCAUAUAUGCUUCAUGUGUUACUUUUAGCCCUAAGUGCCAUACCUGUAAUGAACACAUACACUGCCCUGUAGGAGGUGUUCUUUUGUUCAGCGCGUGAAUUGGUCAUCCACCACACUGGGUUCUAAUCUCAGAAGAUAGGUCAGGGACCACCAGUUGUCAGCAUAGCACCAUCCCACAUUUCUAAUUGAGGCUUGCAGCCUAGAUUUGUCCCUUUGGUCUAGUUUGAAGGAUCCAGGUAUGUAAGGCUUAUAUUCUAGAUAAAUCAGGGGCUCUCCUGAAAGGAAUUCAUCAAUGAAUUAUUCUGUAUGGAUUAGAAGCCAGUUUCUCUGGCCUUCCUGGAGUAUAUCCAGUAAGGCAUCUCAUUCAUGUCUAGAAAGCAAAUAUAUCAUUUAUUGCAACUUCAGCAUGGAGCGAUGUAUUGGUUUAAAAUAAAGUACGAUCAACACAAUUUGGUCAUUGUGAGCAUGCCGGCUGGGUCCACUCUUUACUACACAUAUGUAACUCUAGAGCUUCUUACGCCCCAUAGAGGAGACAUACUCUUGUGUGUCUAGGACAAGGGAAACAUGUGUUGUUAUUCAGGAGCUGGAAGCUACAGCAUGACAGGAAAGAACUGAAAAAUCCUGGUCUUGGUCUACACACCACUUUACCUUGUUCGAAUCUUGUUUCUUUGGCUUGCUUCAUUGGAGUGUCUUCUCUCUCCUGGGACUGACAUUGUGUGUUAUAUAUCAGGCAUGUAACAUGUAGAAGUUUCAGAACCCAGAAUCAUAUAGAUCAGUGAAAAUUUAUAUAUUUUUGUUUAAAAUCUAUUUAAAAUCGCACUGGGCAUAAUUCAUAUAUUCCAAAAGUAGUUUGACCCUCUGCUGAUGAGAUUCUUUUUAUGGUAUGUCAAAGCAAAUUUGGACUUCCAUCCCCAAUAAACUUUGAGGUUGGAGGACACAAAAGCUUUUGCUCAGACCUAAAUUCUGUCUGAAGAAAAAGGGUAACUAUUAUAAGCCCUUUCUAACCUCUCCAGGAGCAGAAAUGAUUUACAGCUAUGGCAUUGAGCCAUAAUUUCUUGAUCUCAUUUGAGAAGAGCUCAGUAAGAAACCGUGUCUUGAUUUUUGUUUGUUGGUUCCCUGUUUUCUUGUCUUGCUUACCAACAAUCCACUGUAAUCCAUGAGUGAGUAUGGCAGCAGGCUGAGUGUUCCCUGGAGCUCAUUAAGUGAACGUUUUUUCCUAAAAUGACUUUUGUCUCCUUGUUUUCAGGCCCUCUUCUUUCCUCUGUCCUUUACUAUAACCAGGGCUCAGCAAAAGCUGCCUGGCUUUGUGCAGACCCUACUUAGGGUAGUCUUUUCUUCAUUAUUUUAUUCAUGGCCCCUCCAUUUCAUUGUUUGCCUUCUCGAAAUGUGUUGAAAUCUUUGUGUGGUUGAUGACUUCCACAAUGUCUUGGCUUUUAUUGGUUGAUUAAUUUUGGUAUUUCUGCAGUUUUAUUUAAACAUGGUUUCAGGAGGACCAGAAAGUAAAUAUAUUUCCUAGUCUGCCAUCUUGAGCUGAAAAUCCCUGUGGAUUUUAGCAUCCAAUGUUCCCAUGGGUAAAAAACCCAACCUUGGCAUUAAUAGAUGUACACUCAAGAUUUCAGCUUUUCUUGAGCAAUCACUAAGGAUUUAAUAUGCGGUCACUUCUAAUGGGAAAAUAAUAACUAUCUCAUGGCGUUGAUUUGAGGAUUAACUUAGAUAAUGGACAAGAAAAUGCUUUGUAAGGUUUUAAAAUCUAUAAAAAAUGUUUUUGUUAUUAUUUGAUUUGUUGCUAUUUCACCUUUAGCUGACAGUUGUUUGUGACCUUGCUUAUGUGAGAAAAUGCCUUCUGGUUUAUUGUUUUGAAAGCCAGAUGAUAUUUUUCAAUAGCUCAAUGGAAAUGGCAUCAUUUGUGAAGUUGAAGGGUGAAGGCAUAAAUGUUUCUUGACAUUUGAAUCAACUAUUGGUCUUCUGGGGCUUGUCCUUAUUCUCCUGCAGUCUCUAAUCAACAUGGCAUCCAGAGAGAUCCUGUUAAAACAUAAGUCAGAUCAUGUCACUCAAGUCUCUUCAAUGGCUUCUUCACAGGAAAAGCAAAGUCCUCAAAGUGCCUCCACAGCCCUAGAAAUCUGGGCCUCUGUUUCCUCUCUGACUGUUUCCUUCUCCUCUCCACUUUGCUCCCUCUGUUUUCCACACACUGACAUCCUUUCUGCUCCUUGGAUACUCCAAGCCCACUCUUGCCUCAUUGCCUUUCCAUCUGACUAUUCCCUCUGCUUGUACUAUUCACUUCCCAGAUAUGCACCUUGCUCCCUCUCACAACCUUAGGUUCCCUCGUAAAUUUUAUCUUCCCCAGAAAGCCCUCAGUGAUCACUUAGUUUCCGAUCGCAGCCUCCUCCUACCAGCUAACAAUCUCCAUCCGCCUUCCCUGCUUGCUGUUUUUCUCCAGCACUUACCUGAUACACUAGUUAUUCUACCCAUUUAUUCAAUUUUUAUUUACGUAUUUACACUUAUGAUUUUAUAUUUGCUUCUUUACUUUUGUCUCUC